rnacentral:rRNA from 1 species
UACGAAGGGGGCUAGCGUUGCUCGGAAUCACUGGGCGUAAAGCGCACGUAAGCGGAUCUUUAAGUCAGGGGUGAAAUCCCAAGGCUCAACCUUGGAACUGCCUUUGAUACUGGGGAUCUCGAGUCCGGAAGAGGUUGGUGGAACUGCGAGUGUAGAGGUGAAAUUCGUAGAUAUUCGCAAGAACACCAGUGGCGAAGGCGGCCAACUGGUCCGGUACUGACGCUGAGGUGCGAAAGCGUGGGGAGCAAACAGG